rnacentral:rRNA from 1 species
UGGGGAAUAUUGCACAAUGGGGGAAACCCUGAUGCAGCGACGCCGCGUGGAGGAAGAAGGUCUUCGGAUUGUAAACUCCUGUUGUUGAGGAAGAUAAUGACGGUACUCAACAAGGAAGUGACGGCUAACUACGUGCCAGCAGCCGCGGUAAAACGUAGGUCACAAGCGUUGUCCGGAAUUACUGGGUGUAAAGGGAGCGCAGGCGGGAAGACAAGUUGGAAGUGAAAUCUAUGGGCUCAACCCAUAAACUGCUUUCAAAACUGUUUUUCUUGAGUAGUGCAGAGGUAGGCGGAAUUCCCGGUGUAGCGGUGGAAUGCGUAGAUAUCGGGAGGAACACCAGUGGCGAAGGCGGCCUACUGGGCACCAACUGACGCUGAGGCUCGAAAGUGUGGGUAGCAAACAGGAUUAGAUACCCUGGUAGUCCACACCGUAAACGAUGAUUACUAGGUGUUGGAGGAUUGACCCCUUCAGUGCCGCAGUUAACACAAUAAGUAAUCCACCUGGGGAGUACGACCGCAAGGUUGAAACUCAAAGGAAUUGACGGGGGCCCGCACAAGCAGUGGAGUAUGUGGUUUAAUUCGACGCAACGCGAAGAACCUUACCAAGUCUUGACAUCCUGCGACGAUGCUGGAAACAGUAUUUUCCUUCGGGACGCAGAGACAGGUGGUGCAUGGUUGUCGUCAGCUCGUGUCGUGAGAUGUUGGGUUAAGUCCCGCAACGAGCGCAACCCUUACUGUCAGUUACUACGCAAGAGGACUCUGGCAGGACUGCCGUUGACAAAACGGAGGAAGGUGGGGAUGACGUCAAAUCAUCAUGCCCUUUAUGACCUGGGCUACACACGUACUACAAUGGCGUUAAACAAAGAGAAGCAAGACCGCGAGGUGGAGCAAAACUCAGAAACAACGUCCCAGUUCGGACUGCAGGCUGCAACUCGCCUGCACGAAGUCGGAAUUGCUAGUAAUCGCAGGUCAGCAUACUGCGGUGAAUACGUUCCC